rnacentral:rRNA from 1 species
GUCUAUGGCGAUGCUAUCCUGAAAAAGCUCGAUCCCGUCUGAUCUCAGAAGCUAAGGAGGGUCGGGCCUGGUUAGUACUUGGAUGGGAGACCACCUAGGAAGACCAGGUGCUAUAGGUG